GGAACAAGCAGCUUUCAAAUGAGGAGAUUGAAAAAUGUGCUGGUAUUAAUUUGUGAGAGGCCAAAGGGUUUUCUGCUGCUGAUCUAAAGGUCACUGUUCUACAAAAAAAACCCUUCAAAUGGAGAAUUCAAUGCAAAAUUGCUGAAUUGGGAUUCAUCAAGAAGUUCAAUACUACUUCACUGCAGAUCUGAACAAGGACUUGAAAUUACUUCCUCACUACAGGCAAAAUGUCGGGCGUCUUUUCUCUAUGGUAAACUCUAUGAUGAAGCCUUCAACCUUUCCCUUUCUUGAAAUGGCGUACUUCCGUUUCCUCUUCUGUUCCUCUGUCGAUCCUCUGAUGUUUUCCUUCCAUUGGUUCUCCGACGUACUUCCUGCCUUUCUUUACGCGUCUCGCUGCUCUUGUAAACAAACUGUCUUCUCGCGAUACUUCUGCCGCUUCCCACGCUCCUUCCCUUCGCGUCGCUAGCUCCGAAACCACAGGCACGUUGUGACUCGUCCAGGAGACGACUGAGCAUGUCUGCUUCUGCUCUCCCCCAAAAUCCUCUGCGAGUGUCAUUCAGAUCCAGCCAGGGAAGCAAUAUCUCAAGGCAGUCUGCAUCUCAGCCUUGUCCCUGGGAGCGCAGAACAAGGGCUGCGCAAAAUGCCUUGGCUCCCUUUUCAGCCA